GAUGAACGCUGACAGAAUGCUUAACACAUGCAAGUCUUUGGCGAAGCUGUGCUUGCACAGCCUAGCCAAGGCGGACGGGUGAGUAACGCGUAAGGAACUUGCCCUGCAGUCAGGGAUAACAGACGGAAACGACUGAUAAGACCUGGUAAAGUCAGGCGGACUCAUGUCCAGCCUGAUGAAAAGAGAUGCUGCAGGAGAGCCUUGCGUCCUAUUAGCUUGUUGGUGGGGUAACGGCCCACCAAGGCGAUGAUAGGUAGCCGGCCUGAGAGGGUGGACGGCCACAAGGGGACUGAGAUACGGCCCUUACUCCUCCGGGAGGCAGCAGUGGGGAAUAUUGGACAAUGGGGGCAACCCUGAUCCAGCAAUUCUGUGUGCACGAUGAAGGUUUUCGGAUUGUAAAGUGCUUUCAGCAGGGAAGAAAAAAAUGACGGUACCUGCAGAAGAAGCGACGGCUAAAUACGUG
rnacentral:rRNA from 1 species